GUGUGGCUUAGCUGCCAGGGAACCAUGUAUAUCUCAUGUCCCAUUCAUCUUGUUCUCAGGAUGUUUUAUAUCCUUGCAUAUAAUAAGUGUUCAAAAAAUAGCCAAAUCAAAAGCCAAGGGACUGAAAAAGUUCCAGUCUUAUAUUUCAGAGUGAGAGAUUUAAUACUUCUAGUCUUGCUUAACCCACUGGACUGAUUUCCUGCUAGUUAUUCUUCAGGAACAUUCAUGGACGUGCUGUUUCCUUAAGUCUCUAGGACUAUGCCUAGAGUUAACUUUGGGUAAAAUUAUUUCCUUUGGAUGUUAGAGGAGUUGGGGAACUAGAUAUGGUACCAUCAUUGUAUUCUCUUCAGAGCUAACAGGAAGAUCGCUAAGAAAAAGAAUAUAGCACGUGGGAAGUGCUGAAGCUCAGAUGCAAAGCCAACUAUGGGAUUCAGGUCUCUUUUGAGACAGGGUCUUGCUCUCUUGUCCAGUCUGGUCUCCAACUCCUGGGCACAAGUGAUCCUCCUGCUUCAGUCUCCCAAGUAACUGGGACUAUAGGCAUAUGCCACUGUGCCUGGCUACUGUAACUCCUUUUUGUUUUUUAGUUUUAAAUUUCUUUAAUUCUUGUUUAACUAUACACUUGGUUUAUUAAGUCUUAUUUUAUUGGUUCUUUUUCACUAUAUACAACAUUAAGAUUCAGUUUGACAUAAUUAUAGAACAUGGAAUAUAAUUUACUCUAAUUCAGUUCCUAGUACUUCCCCUUUCUCUCCCCUCUUCCCUCCUUAGUCUCCUUCCCUCUAUUUUACUGAUAUUUCUGCUAUUUAUAGUUUUUUUUUCAAAUUAGUGUCUUGUGAAUGUACAUUGAUGGUGAGAUUCACUGUGGUAUAUUCAUAUAUGUACAUAGGGGAAUUAGGUCAGAUUCAUUCCACUGUUCUUCCCUUAUCCUGUUCUUCCUCUCUCUCCUUAAUCUUCUUCAUUUAGUUCACUGAUCUUUCUUUUAUUUUGAUGGAACCCCAUACCCCUCUUUACUCACUCUCUGUCUCUUUUCCCCCUUAUUUUGGACUAGCUUCUGCAUAUCAGAGAAAACAUUCUAAGGUCUUUCUCUUUGUUGUUGUUGUUAUAAACAUAUAAUAUGGAAUGCUUCACAUAUUUGCAUGUCACCCUUGCACAGGGGCCAUACCAAUCUUUUCUGUUUCAGUCCAACUUUAGAAUAUGUGCUGCUGAAGUGAGCAUUCUAAGGACCUACUCUUGAUGAAGACCCAGCACUAAACCUGAUCUCAAGAGAAUUAAGGACUUUCUUCUCAAAUUCUUCCAUGGAUGUAGUAAAGGUCUUGGCAGUUGGAAUUUUGUCUUUACUCUGAUGCCUAGGCUUAGAAAUAAAC
rnacentral:lncRNA from 1 species